GCUUGCGCUCCUUUUUGUCCUUCCAAGACUCCUUCUUGGGCUUGCCCUUCAACUGCCGCAUGGCUCAGUGUGUUUCCACACAGCGGGUCACCGGCGAUCCCAGAUGAAAAACCAAAAUGCACGGUCCUUCUGCGCUCCGCUACACCCGCCGGAGGGCUUUCGUACACUGUGUUUCUAAUCUUCCGCAGUCGCUGUCUCGGUUCCCGGAGGUUUUGAGUGAGUGAGCGGGUGCUCGUGCGAGAUUACGUGGCAGCGCUGGAGCCUCGAGCGCAGGAGGGCCGAGGAGGAGGCGUGAGCGCGCGUGCUCUCUCCCUGUCUGCGGGGGCACGAGACGAGGAAA